AUUGAACGCUGGCGGCAGGCCUAACACAUGCAAGUCGAGCGGAGCGGCGGACGGGUGAGUAAGGCAUAGGAAUCUGACUGGGAGUGGUGGAUAACGUCAGGAAACGGGAGCUAAUACCACAUACUAUCAGAUGAGCCUAGGUCGGGGUAGGUAGUUGGUGUGGUAAAGGCCUACCAAGGCGACGAUCCGUAACUUGUCUGAGAGGAUGAUCAUGCACAUCGGAACUGAGACACGGUCCAGACUCCUACGGGAGGCAGCAGUGGGGAAGAUUGGACAAUGGGCGAAAGCCUUCUCCCGCCAUGCCGCGUGUGUGAAGAAGGUCUUCGGAUUGUAAAGUACUUUAAGUUGGGAGGCGUUACCAACAGAAUAAGCACCGGCUAACUUCGUGCCAGCCGCCGCGGUAAUUC
rnacentral:rRNA from 1 species